rnacentral:rRNA from 1 species
UACCAGCACCCCGAGUGGUCGGGACGAUUAUUGGGCCUAAAGCAUCCGUAGCCGGUCAUGCAAGUCCUCCGUUAACUCCACCUGCUUAACAGAUGGGCUGCGGAGGAUACUACAAGGCUAGGAGGCGGAAGAGGCAAGCGGUACUCAGUGGGUAGGGGUAAAAUCCUCUGAUCCAUUGAAGACCACCAGUGGCGAAGGCGGCUUGCCAAUACGCGCUCGACGGUGAGGGAUGAAAGCUGGGGGAGCAAACCGG